GCCAGACUCCUACGGGAGGCAGCAGUGGGGGAUAUUGCACAAUGGGGGAAACCCUGAUGCAGCGACGCCGCGUGGGCGAAGAAGUAUUUCGGUAUGUAAAGCCCUAUCAGCAGGGAAGAAGAAAUGACGGUACCUGAGUAAGAAGCACCGGCUAAAUACGUGCCAGCAGCCGCGGUAAUACGUAGGUGGCAAGCGUUGUCCGGAUUUACUGGGUGUAAAGGGCGUGCAGCCGGGAAGACAAGUCAGAUGUGAAAUCCCGCGGCUCAACCGCGGAACUGCAUUUGAAACUGUUUUUCUUGAGUACCGGAGAGGUCAUCGGAAUUCCUUGUGUAGCGGUGAAAUGCGUAGAUAUAAGGAAGAACACCAGUGGCGAAGGCGGAUGACUGGACGGCAACUGACGGUGAGGCGCGAAAGCGUGGGGAGCAAACAGGAUUAGAUACCCCAGUAAG
rnacentral:rRNA from 1 species